rnacentral:rRNA from 1 species
UACAGAGGUCUCAAGCGUUGUUCGGAUUCAUUGGGCGUAAAGGGUGCGUAGGUGGCGCCGUAAGUCGGGUGUGAAAUUUCGGAGCUUAACUCCGAAACUGCAUUCGAUACUGCGGUGCUUGAGGACUGGAGAGGAGACUGGAAUUCAUGGUGUAGCAGUGAAAUGCGUAGAGAUCAUGAGGAAGACCAGUGGCGAAGGCGGGGUCUCUGGACAGUUCCUGACGCUGAGGCACGAAGGUCAGGGGAGCAAACGGG